CCUACGGGGGGCAGCAGUGGGGAAUAUUGGGCAAUGGGCGCAAGCCUGACCCAGCAACGCCGCGUGAAGGAAGAAGGCUUUCGGGUUGUAAACUUCUUUUAAGAGGGAAGAGCAGAAGACGGUACCUCUUGAAUAAGCCACGGCUAACUACGUGCCAGCAGCCGCGGUAAUACGUAGGUGGCAAGCGUUGUCCGGAUUUACUGGGUGUAAAGGGCGUGCAGCCGGGAAGACAAGUCAGAUGUGAAAUCCCGCGGCUCAACCGCGGAACUGCAUUUGAAACUGCAGUUCUUGAGUGAUGGAGAGGCAGGCGGAAUUCCCGGUGUAGCGGUGGAAUGCGUAGAUAUCGGGAGGAACACCAGUGGCGAAGGCGGCCUGCUGGACAUUAACUGACGCUGAGGCGCGAAAGCGUGGGGAGCAAACAGGAUUAGAUACCCGUGUAGUC
rnacentral:rRNA from 1 species